AGAGAGAAUCUUUUCCAGCUCCCAGCUGGCAGGCUAAGGCCCUCCGGAGCCCAAGGCGAGCCCAAGCAGAAGCCAGUAGGGUUAUCUGUGUCAGGAUCAUUUCCAGGGGAAUAGUUCUGGCCCCUGGCAGGUAAAGACAGGCCAGAGGAGAAGAGGCAGAAGAGGAGAGAAAGCAGGCUCUUUUGCGAGCAGCCCAGGUUGGAGAAAGGCUCUGUACUUUUGGCGUUCCUGCAGGGAUAUCCCCUCUCACAUUGGCAGCCAGGCUGAGAAAGGGCUUCAAGAUCCCCGCAGAAUGACAACUCUUGUUCCUGCAACCCUCUCCUUCCUUCUUCUCUGGACCCUGCCAGGGCAGGUCCUCCUCAGGGUGGCCUUGGCAAAAGAGGAAGUCAAAUCUGGAACCAAGGGGUCCCAGCCCAUGUCCCCCUCUGAUUUCCUAGACAAACUUAUGGGGCGAACAUCUGGAUAUGAUGCCAGGAUUCGGCCCAAUUUUAAAGGCCCACCCGUGAACGUGACCUGCAACAUCUUCAUCAACAGUUUCAGCUCCAUCACCAAGACCACAAUGGACUACCGGGUGAAUGUCUUCUUGCGGCAACAGUGGAAUGACCCACGCCUGUCCUACCGAGAAUAUCCUGAUGACUCUCUGGACCUCGAUCCCUCCAUGCUGGACUCUAUCUGGAAGCCAGACCUCUUCUUUGCUAAUGAGAAAGGGGCCAACUUCCAUGAGGUGACCACGGACAACAAGUUACUGCGCAUCUUCAAGAAUGGGAAUGUGCUGUACAGCAUCAGGCUGACCCUCAUUUUGUCCUGCCUGAUGGACCUCAAGAACUUCCCCAUGGACAUCCAGACCUGCACGAUGCAGCUUGAGAGCUUUGGCUACACCAUGAAAGACCUCGUGUUUGAGUGGCUGGAAGAUGCUCCUGCUGUCCAAGUGGCUGAGGGGCUGACUCUGCCCCAGUUUAUCUUGCGGGAUGAGAAGGAUCUAGGCUGUUGUACCAAGCACUACAACACAGGGAAAUUCACCUGCAUCGAGGUAAAGUUUCACCUGGAACGGCAGAUGGGCUACUAUCUGAUUCAGAUGUACAUCCCCAGCCUACUCAUCGUCAUCCUGUCCUGGGUCUCCUUCUGGAUCAACAUGGAUGCUGCCCCUGCCCGUGUGGGCCUGGGCAUCACCACCGUGCUCACCAUGACCACCCAGAGCUCUGGCUCCCGGGCCUCUUUGCCUAAGGUGUCCUACGUGAAGGCAAUCGACAUCUGGAUGGCUGUGUGUCUGCUCUUUGUGUUCGCUGCCUUGCUGGAGUAUGCUGCCAUAAAUUUUGUUUCUCGUCAGCAUAAAGAAUUCAUACGACUUCGAAGAAGGCAGAGGCGCCAACGCUUGGAGGAAGAUAUCAUCCAAGAAAGUCGUUUCUAUUUCCGUGGCUAUGGCUUGGGCCACUGCCUGCAGGCAAGAGAUGGAGGUCCAAUGGAAGGUUCUGGCAUUUAUAGUCCCCAACCUCCAGCCCCUCUUCUAAGGGAAGGAGAAACCACGCGGAAACUCUACGUGGACUGAGCCAAGAGAAUUGACACCAUCUCCCGGGCUGUCUUCCCUUUCACUUUCCUCAUCUUCAAUAUCUUCUACUGGGUUGUCUAUAAAGUGCUAUGGUCAGAAGAUAUCCACCAGGCUCUGUGAAUAGGGUGGGAGCUAUAGAGUCCUGCUGCUGGCCUCCUGCUUCCUCCUGGGUGGGCUUUCUCCCUCAGUUAGACUCCAUUAGGGGUUUGGACAGUUCCUUCCUGAUCUCCCACUCAGAACUUCAACUACCAGUCCCAAAGCUAUGUGGGCCUAUAUUGCAUGGUGCCAAUGGUGGCUGUACUUAUAAAGAUGGCUUAUCUACCCUAGUCCAUAUUUUCUCCAUACUUUCCCAUUUCUCAUGAGACUAAGGUUUGGCCACAUUCCUGGGGCCAGGAUGACCUUCUGCCCUUGCUGGAGCCUCCCUGUUUUCCAAUACUCCAGUGGAGAGUAUUCAGAACACUGCUGCUAGAUUCUGGCAUUUGUCAUCUUAAUCUGCACCACUUCUCCCCCUGCCACCUCCCACCCAGAGCCUGGCCAUUACUCUGUCCUCUGUCCCUCCUGCUGCAGAUUCAAAUGGUGAGUUUCUCCUAUCCACAAGUGCUGCCCUGUGGGGCCUAGUCAGGUUUCCUUGAAGUGAGAGGAAGGCAAAGCCGCAAGUUCCCCACCUCUCGAGAGGGUUGGAACAGUCAUAGGCUGCACUGGGCUAGCGACUAUAUGGCCCAACAGAGAGGUGUUCAAGUCUCUUGGGAAGCCCCACACUUUGUCUUCAUCCCUUUUCCUAUUGCGCUUGUCUGCUCUUUCCUGUUCACUGAGAUACUCCUCUUGUCUGUCUCUUAGUUUUGAGGAGAGCGUUCUGAGCUGACCAGGGUAGCUGGUUCAGAAAUUACUGUCAGAAUUGGGGCAGAGACUUUGGGUUCUCAAAAAGACUAACCUUCCAGAUCCACCUGAACAUUCUGGUCUCAGAAAUAUUCGUUCCGUUCCCUAAUUAACUAGCAUGAUGGCAGGAUCUGUUGGACAGCUGGGGAGUGUAAAAAAAGAAAAAUACUUGUUCUUUAAGAAACUUACUUUAUGAUGCUAGAAAACUUUUGAGAAAAGUGAGAUCCAAGGUAGUGGAACCCAGGAGGAGUAGAAUAGAGAAACUAUUCUCAGAGUGUCUUUUGUUGGCUGGGCUUUCAUUUGUUUCUUCUUUCUCACCAAAGUCUAUUUUCCAGGGCCCUUCAUUUCCAACCUGGUCUUUCACCUCCUUUUGGUGUGCAAAUAAAGGUGCCGCUGCAACCUUGUUAAGGAUAGAAUGGGCUUCAGGUUUGCUGGGGAGGAACUAGGCACGUAGAAGACCCCUAUACUAGAUCAACAUUGAUUUGACCAACAUCAGGGUAGAAGUUGUAGAAGUUAAAGAGCCAUAAUUCAGAGUUGUUUCUUCACCCUUCUUGCUCCACAAGGAGAAGCAGUGAGUAGGUGUAGCAGUCAGUUGAAGCUACCAGAAACGUCAGAAUAGAGAGAGUUGGUGUGGAAGAGCCCACUUCAGGCCUGACAUACCACUGGGACAUGGGGAAGCAUGUGCCUGGCACACUGAGACCUUUGAAGUGACCAACUGUGAGUAACUGAAACAGGAGAGAUUAAAGUGUGGGACUGACACUGGAAGAAAGAAGUGAUCAAAUGAUCUCUUAGACAUCUUGUCCUUUUCUCUGGACCUAGAAUAAUUAAGCACAUAAGUCCAGUCUCUCUCUCUGCUUCUCUCUUUCUCUCUCCUUUUCUCUCUCUCUUCCUCCUUCCCUCCCUCCCUCCCUCCAUAUGGUGAUCCAAAUUGAAAGUCAAUAAAUCCAAUGGCCAAAGCUAAUCCUAUAAUCAAA